GGCGGCAGCCAUAUUGAUGUUCGUCCCCGAACCAGCUAUAAACCCUAAACUCCACACAAAUUAGGGUUUUCGAGAUCAAAUCUGUCCGUCAAAUAGGAGAUUCAAAAGAAUCGAAACCCUUGUUUUUUAGCACGCCUUCCCUCUUCGAUCCUAUAAAUUGUUAACUCGUCCCUCUUCCAUCGCCAGGGCGUCGAUUUGGUCGCAGCCGUCGUAUCUGUGAAGUCGUUCAUCGCCGACAGGUGAUUUCGUCGUCGAUCGUUUUGAUUUCUUCCCCUUCUGCUGUGAUUUUCCUACUCUGGUGUUCUAUGCAAUUUGCUUCACUAUCUGGUGAUUGAGGAUCAUUUCCAUUCCCAAUGCACUCGUUCCCUUGAAGCAAGAUUGUGUGUUGUACUGAUCAUGAUUUCACUUCCAACCAAAUAAGAUGGUUGGCACGACAAUGAUCGUUUACAUAAAUUUUCUUCUGUUUAUUCAAUAGUUUUCUUUGACUUUUUAGAUUGGCAAAUGAGGAUUUAUUGUUUGCAAUGGGUAAUUUGCGUCUGAGCAUGUAUUUGUGAUGUUACAUACAUAUCACCUUGGAGAUCUGAUGCCGAAAUUCAUUUUUUUUCCUCUUGUUUCUACGCUUUUUUAUAUUUAAAAUUUUUAACAUAUGAUUUAAAAUUUGGGGUUUCCCUAUUGGUUUGAUGGCUGAUAUGAUGGCUACAAAUGUAUUAGCUCUAUCUGAACUCUUAUCUUCCUUUUGCUAUUUUAUUCAGCUUUUGUAUACCUUCUUUGCAUUUUACUGAUGCAUCAAAAUUUGUUAUUGUAUUUUUGUUUAUCUGACUCAAACAUGCAUUUUCCUAUCAUUUUUUUUUCAAAUCGGAAGAUUAUUUAUCUUCUACGAUACUCACAAGGUAUAUGCCAACAAUAAUCUCCAGCAAAAGAUUGCUUUGGAUAAAACAAAGGCUGCUCCUAUAAUUUCAAUUUAAAGAAAGAUAUUAGGAACUGGCUUUGUUCUUGAACAUGUCACGUAAUUUCUCUGUUACAACCUAUUUGUUGACGCUGCUGCCUGCUACAGACUAAUCUAUGUGGACGGCUUUGCAGCGGUGGAUAGCCAUGACGUUCUCGAACAAGACCAAGAAAAUUAUCAUUUUUUUUACCAAUAACGUGCUGAAUCUCUGACAAUUGCCUAUCGAGCUUGGACUACUCCAAAUGCUCGUUCAAUAUUUUUUUUUACAAUCUCUUGUCUUUUCUUAAACAACCUCUUCUUGGGAUCUUCUGGAUAAGGAAAAGUUUUUAUGAAAUUAGCUCAUUUUGUAUAUAUUCCAUUUGUUAGAUAAUACUCCUUGUAUAUUGAGUCUUGUUGAUCGUGAAAUUAAUUUCUGGGGCAUUUCUUUGCAAAAUGCCAUUGAAUA